rnacentral:rRNA from 1 species
GAUGAACGCUAGCGGCAGGCCUAACACAUGCAAGUCGAGGGGCAGCACAGAAACAGCAAUGUUUUGGUGGCGACCGGCGGACGGGUGCGUAACGCGUAUGCAACCUACCUUUAACAGGGGGAUAACGGAGAGAAAUUUCCACUAAUACCCCAUAACAUCGAUCAAGGCAUCUUGAUUGGUUGAAAACUCCGGUGGUUAAAGAUGGGCAUGCGUUGUAUUAGGUAGUUGGUGAGGUAAUGGCUCACCAAGCCUACGAUACAUAGGGGGACUGGGAGGUUAGCCCCCCACACCGGUACUGAGACACGGACCAGACUCCUACGGGAGGCAGCAGUGAGGAAUAUUGGUCAAUGGGGGCAACCCUGAACCAGCCAUGCCGCGUGCAGGAAGACGGCUCUAUGAGUUGUAAACUGCUUUUAAACAGGGAUAAAGCACAGUAUGUAUACUGUGUUGAAGGUACUGUAAGAAUAAGGAUCGGCUAACUCCGUGCCAGCCGCCGCGGUAA